CCUGCGGCGGAAUGUAUUUUCCGAAAAUGGGCUGUUGCGCAGCGUGACCAUGCUGCGCGAGGACGACUUUACGUCCUCUGACAGAGCGCUCCGGCUUUCCGGUGCCGCUCCCUGCACGCCACGUCCCCAGAAGGGACGUGGCGCGUAGGUCA
rnacentral:sRNA from 1 species